rnacentral:rRNA from 1 species
AUUGAACGCUGGCGGCAUGCCUAACACAUGCAAGUCGAACGAGUGGCGGACGGGUGAGUAAUGUCUGGGAAACUGCCCGAUGGAGGGGGAUAACUACUGGAAACGGUAGCUAAUACCGCAUACCAUCGGAUGUGCCCAGUUGGGAUUAGCUAGUAGGUGGGGUAACGGCUCACCUAGGCAACGAUCCCUAGCUGGUCUGAGAGGAUGACCAGCCACCCUGGAACUGAGACACGGUCCAGACUCCUACGGUAGGCAGCAGUGGGGAAUAUUGCACAAUGGGCGCAAGCCUGAUGCAGCCAUGCCGCGUGUAUGAAGAAGGCCUUCGGGUUGUAAAGUACUGUCAGCGAGGAAGCGUUACUCGCAGAAGAAGCACCGGCUAACUCCGUGCCAGCAGCCGCGGUAAUUC